rnacentral:rRNA from 1 species
UACAGAGGUGGCGAGCGUUGUUCGGAUUUACUGGGCGUAAAGGGCGCGUAGGCUGCGCGGUGUGUCGGGUGUGAAAUCCCAGGGCCCAACCCUGGAAGUGCGCCCGAAACUGCCGCGCUGGAGUGCGGGAGGGGAGAUCGGAAUGCAUGGCGUAGCGGUGAAAUGCGUUGAUAUCAUGCAGAACACCGGUGGCGAAGGCGGAUCUCUGGAACGCAACUGACGCUGAGGCGCGAAAGCAGGGGGAGCAAACAGG